UACUCAUAUAUGGGGGCAACAAAACGCACCAAAAACAAAACAUUUCCGCCUUGAUUUUGGCUUCAGUACACUCUCGAAAACCCCUCCAUUUUCUUCUUCUCCACUGAUUUCUGGCUAUCUGCAAACGAAUCCAGCACAUUACGUUGCCACACGACUUCCCUCAUCCACUGAAAACCAGCCCUAGCAACAUCGUCCACCCAUUUGGAAAUGCAUGGAAGCUAGGUCCUUCGAAUGGGGAUUGUACGGUAAAGCCAACCAUCAGCUGGGAAAAUCUGCUCCCCUUUUGGGUUCAAAAUCUAGACUUUGUGAUUUUGUAAGCCCCUAUUUCGAGAUCAACCACGCCCCUUUUCCUGCUGGCAAAGGGUUUCCCAUGUAGCCUCCUCCUCGUCCUCUCCUCCACUCGCUUCUCGCCGAUUUCAAGUCCCUCUUGCUUUUCCCAUCCAAAUAUAGACCCCAACUAUUUUUUGUUGGGCAGGGUAUUGGAGGUGGAGAUCCUUUGCGAUUCCUCGGCGAUUCUCACGCAUGCACCACAGCAAGAAAGUUAAAGAAACCUAUUUGAAAUGAUCACACCAACCAUGCAAGUCGUACAACAAAGUGCAGAUUUUAUUUUAAAUUUGGUAGCAAUAUGAGAAACAAUUGACAUGGAAUCCAAUUUGGAGCAAACUGGUAGGCAAAUGACAGAAUGUGUAAAGGAUAUUUGAGGGGUUGGGGUCGCUGUGUAAAACCUUCUCCCUCUUCCUCUUCUUCUAGGUUUGCCUCUAUGGCCUCUAUAGCGUAAGAGAAUGUGAAUCGCAGAAUCAAAGAAUUGGUUGCAAGGCAGCAUGAGUUAGAGGCUUAAUUGGCGAAGAGUAAGUCUAUACAUAAGCCCCUUAUGUCUCCAAUACCACACACCGCUAAUGUGGAUUUGCUCUUUUAUUUUUUUUAUUUUUUUUUCUACAGUAAAAUGCACUCAGCAUUUUCCUCCCCAAAUCCCUUUUCCCAAAUUAGUGCUCCAUUGGAAUUUCUAAGAGACGUUCUCCAUCCAACUUAGCCCCUCUGCCGCUUGAUUCCCGCUACCCAUACGUCGUCUGCCAUUUAUUGCAUUUAUUCUCUCUCUUUUAGACUUUAAGCCCCAUUUAGAUACCCAGAAACAUACAAGUUAAAUAUAGGGUUUCUCCCCCUUCUGUGUUUUUUUCAAGCAUUCUGAGCAAACCAGAAGAAAGGUUUGCAGGCAUGGACUCGGUGUUCUCAGCAAACCAUUAUUAAACUUUUUUCGUUUGCCUUUAUGGGUUUUGUAAACAAAAUUAGUGGUAUACUGACUGUAUGGUUGAGAAUGUUUGUUGGGCAGUGUUUGAAAUCUUCUAGGUUCUCUCUUUCACAGCCGCAGAGUCAUUUUUGGACUCCUCAUAAAGUUUUAUUUUGGUCUUUUACAAAAAUAAAAAAUACUUUGAUGGUGGUUUGAUUCUUUGCUUCUGGCUUGCCGCAUCAGUUAUCAAUCUUAUACACCUAUGGUCAUUUGUAAAUGAAUGGACAAAAGUGAGAUUUGAAAGUGGGUUUGGAUCCUGCGCUAAGGAGAAGAUGAGGGAGAAGAGAAAUGGCGUCGACUUGGUUUCGAGCUAUUUAAGUGCAAAACCGUGACAUGGCGAUCAGACCGGAUCGGUGUGUGGUGUUGGAGAGAGAACCAGCUUAUGUAUAGACUUACUCAUUGGCGAAACAAGGAGACAUGAAGACGUGCCUCAAACAACAUGAAAAACAACAAGAAGAGUUCAGGAGAGAAAUGCAACUCCAAAUGCAGCAGCUUAUCCAACAAUACAGGCCUCCAAACAACUGAUAGUUUUUUAUGUAUAGAUUAUGAGAUUAUCUAAUUAUAUACGAACAAUGCUAGUCUUACAGUUAUUUAUUAGUUCGCACUUAUUAUAAAACUUUUGUGAGUAUUAAACAGUUUCUAAUGUAUUUUUUUCAAAUAUUAUGAAAGUCUAUUUGGUUUUUUAUUAUUA